CCUACGGGAGGCAGCAGUGGGGAAUAUUGCACAAUGGGCGGAAGCCUGAUGCAGCGACGCCGCGUGAGGGAUGGAGGCCUUCGGGUUGUAAACCUCUUUCAGCAGGGACGAAGCGUGAGUGACGGUACCUGCAGAAGAAGCACCGGCUAACUACGUGCCAGCAGCCGCGGUAAUACGUAGGGUGCGAGCGUUGUCCGGAAUUACUGGGCGUAAAGAGUUCGUAGGCGGUUUGUCGCGUCGUUUGUGAAAACCCGGGGCUCAACUUCGGGCUUGCAGGCGAUACGGGCAGACUUGAGUGUUUCAGGGGAGACUGGAAUUCCUGGUGUAGCGGUGAAAUGCGCAGAUAUCAGGAGGAACACCGGUGGCGAAGGCGGGUCUCUGGGAAACAACUGACGCUGAGGAACGAAAGCGUGGGUAGCAAACAGGAUUAGAUACCCUGGUAGUCCACGCCGUAAACGGUGGCGCUAGGUGUGGGUUCCUUCCACGGAAUCUGUGCCGUAGCUAACGCAUUAAGCGCCCCGCCUGGGGAGUACGGCCGCAAGGCUAAAACUCAAAAGGAAUUGACGG
rnacentral:rRNA from 1 species